GCAUAUCAAUAAGCGGAGGAAAAGAAACCAACAGGGAUUGCCCCAGUAACGGCGAGUGAAGCGGCAACAGCUCAAAUUUGAAAUCUGGCCCUCGGGUCCGAGUUGUAAUUUGGAGAGGAUGCUUUUGGCGCGGCGCCGUCCGAGUUCCUUGGAACAGGACGCCAUAGAGGGUGAGAGCCCCGUACGGGCGGCCGCCUAGCCUUUGUAAAGCUCCUUCGACGAGUCGAGUAGUUUGGGAAUGCUGCUCAAAAUGGGAGGUAAAUUUCUUCUAAAGCUAAAUACCGGCCAGAGACCGAUAGCGCACAAGUAGAGUGAUCGAAAGAUGAAAAGCACUUUGAAAAGAGGGUUAAAAAGUACGUGAAAUUGUUGAAAGGGAAGCGCCUGUGACCAGACUUGCGGCCCGUGGAUCAUCCGGUGUUCUUCACCGGUGCACUCCGCGGGCUGCAGGCCAGCAUCGGUUUUCCUAGGGGGAUAAAGGUCGCGGGAACGUAGCUCCCUCGGGAGUGUUAUAGCCCGUGGCGUCAUGCCUCUGGGGGGACCGAGGACCGCGCUUCGGCAAGGAUGCUGGCGUAAUGGUCACCGGCGACCCGUCUUGAAACACGGACCAAGGAGUCAAGCAUUGGGGCGAGUGUCUGGGUGCCAAACCCGCACGCGAAAUGAAAGUAAACGCAGGUGAGAGCUUCGGCGCAUCACCGACCGAUCCUGAUGUUCUCGGAUGGAUUUGAGUAAGAGCCUUACCGCUUGGACCCGAAAGAUGGUGAACUAUGCCUGUAUAGGGUGAAGCCAGAGGAAACUCUGGUGGAGGCUCGCAGCGGUUCUGACGUGCAAAUCGAUCGUCAAAUAUGGGCAUGGGGGCGAAAGACUAAUCGAACCAUCUAGUAGCUGGU
rnacentral:rRNA from 1 species